rnacentral:rRNA from 1 species
GCUGUGAGCUCGAUGAGUAGGGCGGGACACGUGGUAUCCUGUCUGAAUAUGGGGGGACCAUCCUCCAAGGCUAAAUACUCCUGACUGACCGAUAGUGAACCAGUACCGUGAGGGAAAGGCGAAAAGAACCCCGGCGAGGGGAGUGAAAAAGAACCUGAAACCGUGUACGUACAAGCAGUGGGAGCACCCUUUGGGGUGUGACUGCGUACCUUUUGUAUAAUGGGUCAGCGACUUAUAUUCUGUAGCAAGGUUAACCGAAUAGGGGAGCCGGAGGGAAACCGAGUCUUAAUUGGGCGUUAAGUUGCAGGGUAUAGACCCGAAACCCGGUGAUCUAGCCAUGGGCAGGUUGAAGGUUGGGUAACACUAACUGGAGGACCGAACCGACUAAUGUUGAAAAAUUAGCGGAUGACCUGUGGCUGGGGGUGAAAGGCCAAUCAAACCGGGAGAUAGCUGGUUCUCCCCGAAAGCUAUUUAGGUAGCGCCUCGUGAAUUCAUCUCCGGGGGUAGAGCACUGUUUCGGCUAGGGGGCCAUCCCGGCUUACCAACCCGAUGCAAACUGCGAAUACCGGAGAAUGUUAUCACGGGAGACACACGGCGGGUGCUAACGUCCGUCGUGAAGAGGGAAACAACCCAGACCGCCAGCUAAGGUCCCAAAGUCAUGGUUAAGUGGGAAACGAUGUGGGAAGGCCCAGACAGCCAGGAUGUUGGCUUAGAAGCAGCCAUCAUUUAAAGAAAGCGUAAUAGCUCACUGGUCGAGUCGGCCUGCGCGGAAGAUGUAACGGGGCUAAACCAUG